rnacentral:rRNA from 1 species
CAGCACCUCAAGUGGUCAGGAUGAUUAUUGGGCCUAAAGCAUCCGUAGCCGGCUCUGUAAGUUUUCGGUUAAAUCUGUACGCUCAACGUACGGGCUGCCGGGAAUACUGCAGAGCUAGGGAGUGGGAGAGGUAGACGGUACUCGGUAGGAAGGGGUAAAAUCCUUUGAUCUAUUGAUGACCACCUGUGGCGAAGGCGGUCUACCAGAACACGUCCGACGGUGAGGGAUGAAAGCUGGGGGAGCAAGCCGGAUUAGAGACCCGAGUAGUCC